GACGAACGCUGGCGGCGUGCUUAACACAUGCAAGUCGAACGAUGAACCCGGAGCUUGCUCUGGGGGAUUAGUGGCGAACGGGUGAGUAACACGUGAGUAACCUGCCCUGGACUCUGGGAUAAGCGUUGGAAACGACGUCUAAUACCGGAUAGGACCUUGGAUCGCAUGAUCUGGGGUAGAAAGUUUUUUCGGUCUGGGAUGGACUCGCGGCCUAUCAGCUUGUUGGUGAGGUAAUGGCUCACCAAGGCGUCGACGGGUAGCCGGCCUGAGAGGGUGACCGGCCACACUGGGACUGAGACACGGCCCAGACUCCUACGGGAGGCAGCAGUGGGGAAUAUUGCACAAUGGGCGAAAGCCUGAUGCAGCAACGCCGCGUGCGGGAUGACGGCCUUCGGGUUGUAAACCGCUUUUAGUAGGGAAGAAGGGCUUCGGCUUGACGGUACCUGCAGAAAAAGGACCGGCUAACUACGUG
rnacentral:rRNA from 1 species